rnacentral:rRNA from 1 species
GCGGACGGGUGAGUAACACAUGGGAAUCGACCCAUUCGUGAGGAAUACCACCGGGAAACCGGUGACAAUACCGCAUACGCUUCUUCGGAAGCAAAGCUCUCGGUAACGGGGGCGCGAGUGGACGAGCCUGUGCCUGAUUAGUUAGUUGGUGGGGUAAGAGCCUACCAAGACUGCGAUCAGUCGCUGGUCUGAGAGGAUGAUCAGCCACACUGGGAUUGAGAACGGCCCAGACUCCUACGGGGGGCAGCAGUGAGGAAUCUUCGGCAAUGGGGGCAACCCUGACCGAGCAACGCCGCGUGCAGGACGACGGCCUUCGGGUUGUAAACUGCUUUUCUGGGGGAUGAGAGUGGACAGUACCCCAGGAAGAAGCUCCGGCUAACUACGUGCCAGCAGCCGCGGUAAUACGUAGGGAGCAAGCGUUGUCCGGAGUUACUGGGCGUAAAGCGCACGCAGGCGGUCAGUGGCGUUCGUGCCGACAGCGACUCGCUUACCGAGUCGAGGAGUACGAAAACGGAUUGACUUGAGGGUCAGAGAGGGACACGGAACUCCGGGUGGAGUGGUGAAAUGCGUAGAGAUCCGGAAGAACACCAAAGGCGAAGGCAGUGUCCUGGCUGAUACCUGACGCUCAGAGGCGAGAGCUAGGGGAGCGAACGGGAUUAGAUACCCCGGUAGUCCUAGCCGUAAACGAUGACCACGAGAUGUCCGGGGGAUCGACCCCCUGGGUGUCGCAGCUAACGCAAUCAGUGGUCCGCCUGGGGAGUACGGUCGCAAGAUUAAAACUCAAAGGAAUUGACGGGGACCCGCAC